rnacentral:rRNA from 1 species
UACGUAGGGGGCGAGCGUUGUCCGGAUUUAUUGGGCGUAAAGAGCGUGUAGGCGGCCAGGUAGGUCAGCUGUGAAAACUCGAGGCUCAACCUCGAGAUGUCGGCUGAAACCAUCUGGCUAGAGUCCGGAAGAGGAGAAUGGAAUUCCCGGGUGUAAGCGGUGAAAUGCGCAGAUAUCGGGAAGAACACCCGUGGCGAAGGCGGUUCUCUGGGACGGUACUGACGCUGAGACGCGAAAGCGUGGGGAGCGAACAGG